rnacentral:misc_RNA from 1 species
CCAAACUUGGUCAUUUAGAGGAAGUAAAAGUCGUAACAAGGUCCCCGUAGGUGAACCUUCGGGGGGAUCAUUACCGAGCACUGUGGACCCGUUUGGGCCGCGCCCUCCCCAUCCCUUGCUUGAAACCCAACCUUGCCUCGGCCGCCCCGGCGGCCAGAAGUCGAUUAAACCCCAGGAACCGUGGAUCCGAGCGGCGAGAGCCGAACUCAGUACAACCCGCAACGAUGGAUCUCUUGGUUCCAGCAUCGAUGAAGAACGCAGC